CAUGUGGCAGGGAAGGUGGGCAGCCCAGGGCCAGUUCCACUUGUUGGUGAGUUUGUGGUGCCCCCAACCCUCUCUUACAGGCACCAAAGUAGCAGCAGGACCUGCUGGGAGAUGCAGCCCCGGGGCAGAGAGGCAGCAUGGGCUGUCCUGCCCAGGGCAUGCAGCAGAGCGCCGGUGGCAGUACUGGAAGCAGAAGGCCGUCCUGUCCCACAGGGUGCGUGUGGGGUGGCUGUCCCCAUAUGGAGGGUCCCUGAGUCCCACACGGGACCUCUUCUAGACCCUACAAUAGCCAUGGAAAGGCUGUCAGCACGAGGACGUUUAUCAAAGAAAUGAAUUGCGAAUGAAAUCCUGAAGAAAAACCCUCCAGCAUAGGGGCGACUGUUCAAAACCAGUUUGUAAAAGUCAUUGCCUUCAUCAAGUUAAUUAGCUGCAUAAGUGCUGACUGAACGCGGCAACAAUGCCCAAGGCUUGAUGGAUUGAUGCCAUCCACCCUUGUCCAUCCUGCUCUCUCCAGCUGGCAGCGAUGCGCCGGGCCCUGAGGAGCAGCCAGGAGGGGAUGCAGGAGCCAGGAGCUGGAGACUGGGGCAUGCAGAGCGAUGGGGAUGGGGUCAGGUGUGUGCUGUGACCCUGCUCUGGGGUCCUAUGGGCAAUGAGGGAGUUCUGGGGCGUCCCACUGGGUGAUGCUCUCCUUUCUGCAGGGCACGUGCAUGGGAUCGUGUGGAGAAAGUGGUGAGCACUCUGAGAUGGGCGAAGGGGGGUGGCAGAGGGACAGGUUGGGGGGCAGCAGGACAGGGACUGGGCUGGCCGUGCCGUAAGAAAGGAGGGAGGAAUGGGAGGGAGGUGGAAGGGGGGUCCUUGUCUCAGCAGGGGCAGAAGGGCUGUGCUGGAUGCCCAGGGAAUGUGAGGAGGAAGACGCUGGAUCUCAGAGAAGAGAAGCGGGAGCUGCAGGAGAGGCUCUGUGGGCUGGAGCUCCAGAUGCGCUCCGUGCUGCGGCAGAGGCAGGAGGCCCUAGGGAAGCUGCGGGCAGUGCUGCAAAAGGAGAGGAUGGCUGCACUCCAGCAGCUGCGGGAGUGCCUGGAAAAGGUGAAUGGGGCUGUCUGUCAGGAGAACUGUCACCUGGAAACGCUAGCAGCCCCGGGAGCCCUGAAGGAGCCACCGACCCCAGCCAGAGUCCUGCGGGAUGCAGAGAUGUGUGUGUGGGACCCAGCCUGGCCACCCCCUCCUGAUCCUUCCAAACCCGGGUUGAGCCAUGACACCGGUGCACAGAAAUCCUGCCUCUUCCCUGUCCCCAAGCACUGUGCCUGGCCUCCAGCAGCACCAACGUGGGGUCCCAGGGGUCCUGCACCACAUCCAGCGCUGCCUGCGGGAGCUGCAGGUGAAUGACUUCAGUGUGCUGGGAGCAGAGCUGGGCACGACAGCAAGCGAGGAGGUACGGGGACAGCCCGGGACAAGGGACUUGGCCACUUGCCUCACCCAAUGGACAAAUCCAGAGUAUGAGGUGCUCUGCCACUGAGUGCUCCAAAGGAUGCUCAGGCUGGUGGGAGCAGCCCCACAGCAGGGCUCAGGGCCUGUUUGUUUCUAACCUUGGGACCUUGGAUAGAUUCUAUCACCACCGUAUGGGGCUGGGGACAUCGGGCUCAUCUGUGGAGGGCUGAAGGUGGGAGGGGACCUGCUGGUGGGAAGGGACCUGCUAUGGGGAGGCCAUAGGGUUCCUCAGGAGUCCUCAUCUGCGUUUCUCAGAUGAAGAACGGGGUUCUUCUGCACCUCUCCCACUCCGCAGCAUAUCCUCAACCUCCCAUCUCCCACCCUGGGAUACAACCAUGGAACAAACCUUAAAGGCAAAUUGGAUGUGGUGCUUCCCUUUCUGUUCCACCACGUUUUCAUGGGUUGUGGCUUUUUCCUAGAGGUUCCUGAUGCCACCUCUUGCCGUUCCUUCAAGCCCCAAUGGGGACAAGCUCACUGCUACAACCAGGACUUGAGAUGAAGCACAGAGGUGGUGAUGCAUCCCUGUACUUCCCCAUGCAUACCCAGAAUGACCAAUUGUGAAGCUACUGAACGGGUCCCACAGAAUUUCCUAUGUAGAAACUUCCCAUAGGUCCUGGCUGGGCUCCUUCCCAGGGCUGGGGGCUGUGGGACAGCAUUUUGGGGGUGAUGGGUGAGGUUGUGUGCCUCCACCAGGCUGCUGUCCAAGGCCCUGCUGGAAGAACCUGGAUUCCCAACCAGCAUCUUUGCUCCUCACGCUCAUUGAGGAGCUUGGAACGGAGAGGUCCAUGUUGCAGGGGUGGUUGCUCAGUGGGGUGGGGAAGAAGCUUUUGGGUUGGGGUGAGAUGUGGGGAUUGAGGGCUGGGGGAAGCCUUGUGCCUUACCCAGGUCUUGUUGUCUGGGCCGUGCACAUCGGGAGUGCUUUGGGAUGGCUGCAGGCAGAAACACUUCAGGAAAAAAAAGAAGUUUAAAAAUGAGGAACUGUUCUAUUUAGGAGCUUUCAAAUAAUUUUAAAGAAGAGAAACGUAUUUCUCAGUCUUCACACAUCUCAAUGGAGAAAAUACUGUUUUUAAUUUGCAGGAGAAUGCCCAAGGAGAGCUUCUCUGCGUGCGAGGGGGGGAAAUGAGAAUUUUGUGCAGUACUGAUUGCUGCACUUCCUUGCAGGAGGAGAGAGGGAGUGAAAAUGAAAAUCUUUGUCUGCUUUCUUCCCAAUCAAAAUAAAAACGUUCCUCAUGUUUUUCUGGACUGGGGAGAUUUCUGAAUUUACUUGUGAUGCACAGCUCUGUUUAUAAGCUCCCUUUAGGUACUGGAAGCUACAGUGAGGUCUUCUCAGAGCCUCCUCUUCACCAGGAUACCCAAAAAUGUGGUAUUUCUGCUUUACCUCAUGCUUGGAAGAUUUGGGAUGCUGA